rnacentral:rRNA from 1 species
AUGCUCAAUGACUCCAACUACGGUCUGUGGGCCGUAAAGAUGAGAGUGCUGCUCCGUCCGUUCGUCGUGUGGUCGGCGUUGGAGGGCACCGCGGAGUUCGACCAAGGAAAGGAUGACGAGGCCUUCGCCGCUCUCUCCCAUUCCAUCCCGGACGCGGUGAUGAUGGCGGUGGCCAACUGCGAGACUGCUCACGACGCCUGGGAGGCCAUCCGACGCAUGCGCGUCGGCGAAGAUCGUGUCCAGAAGGCGCGAGUGAAGCAACUCAAGCGCCAGCUCGAUCGCAUGGAGAUGGACGAUUCUGAGUCAGUCAGUGUGUUCGCGCAGAAAUUGAUGACGCUCGUUGGAGAAAUCCGAUCGCUUGGCGAGACGGUGUCGGAUGAGUCGAUCAUUGAGGUCCUCUUCAACGCUGUUCCGAGCCGGUUUGGGGACAUCGUGACCACCAUCGAGCAGUGGGGUGACCUCACUACCAUGAUCGUGUCAGAGGCAGUUGGGCGUCUCGCCGCGUUCGAAGAGAGCCAGCGCGGCCGGCGCCGUCACUCCGGCGGGAAGGAGGACCAACUGAUGCUGAUGACACAAGCCCUUGAGCAGCUGAUGAAGGGAAAAAGGGGGUCACCGGGAGCUGGCAGUAGCAACGCCGGUCGUGGCCGCGGAGGUGGUCGAGGUCGAGGCGGUGGCCGCGGUGACCGCGGACAAGACGGGCGCGGCGAGAACAAGGACGUGGGGAAGCAGAAGAAACAGCGUAAGUUCGACAUCACUAAGAUCAGGUGUUUUAACUGUAAUAAGAUGGGACAUUUUCAGUCUGACUGUCCAGAGCCCAAACGAGAGCAGGCAAAUUUUGCCCAGGAGGAGGAGGCAGAUGAGCAACCUCUGCUCAUGAUCGCAGCCUGUGAGCUGGCCCCAGCAAAGAUCGAGUUGACGGAACAAGUGUUCUUGAAUGAGAAGCAGGUUCUUCCGAAGCUAAGCGAUGAUCGGGACAUCUCCUGGUACUUGGACACCGGAGCAAGCAAUCAUAUGACCGGUUGCCGCGACAAGUUUGCAGAGCUCGAUGAGGCAGUAAACGGCAAGGUCAAAUUUGGCGAUGGCUCUGCUGUGGACAUCUGUGGACGAGGUUCCGUUCUCUUGAAGUGUCUCACGGGUGAGCACCGGGUUCUGACGGAUGUAUACUUCAUUCCCCGACUUAAGAACAACAUCAUCAGUUUGGGCCAGCUAGAUGAAAAUGGAUGCAAGUAUGCAAGUGAGGAUGGAGUAAUGACCGUGUGGGACAGAGAAAGAAAUGUUCUUGCACGAGUGAAUAGGACCAAGAACAGGAUGUAUAUACUGAACAUCCAGCCCACUGAACCUGUGUGUCUGCUUGCUCACGCUAAGGAUCAAGCAUGGUUGUGGCACAUGAGGUAUGGACAUGUAAAUUUCAGGUCACUUCGUACACUUGCAGCAGAAGAGAUGGUACAUGGCAUGCCGUACCUCGACCAGGUGGAGCAAAUUUGUGAUGGGUGCAUGGUAGCAAAACAGAGACGCCUCUCCUUCCCGGUUCAGGCCACUUACCGUGCAACGGAGCAACUUCAGCUAGUUCAUGGAGACUUGUGCGGGCCUAUAACACCUGAAACGCCCGGCGGGAAGAGGUAUUUCUUGUUGCUCGUGGAUGAUCACUCUCGGUUUAUGUGGAUUACUCUAUUGCGGAGCAAAGAUGAAGCUCUCAGUGGACUGCAGAAAAUACAAAAGGCAGCUGAGGUUGAAAGUGGGCAUCACUUGAAAGCAAUUAGAACAGACCGAGGGGGUGAGUUCACCUCAAGAGAAUUCGCAGAGCACUGUGAGCGGCACGGAAUCAAGCAUUUUUGCACAUCACCAUAUAGCCCACAGCAGAAUGGUGUGGUUGAAAGGAGAAACCAAACCGUGGUGGGUAUGGCGCGCAGUCUGCUAAAAAGUAUGGGGAUGCCAGCUCGAUUUUGGGGUGAAGCAGUCAUCACUGCCGUAAAUUUGCUGAACAGAUCACUGACAAAGAGUGUAAAGGGAAAAACACCGUAUGAGGCAUGGCAUGAGAGAAAGCCGCCAGUACAACAUCUUCGCACCUUUGGCUGUGUUGCUCGUGUGAAAAAGGUCGGACCCGGACUGUCAAAACUCUCUGAUAGAAGCUCACAGAUGGUCUUCAUUGGUUAUGAAACCGGCUCAAAGGCUUAUCGGAUGUUUGAUCCAGAGAGCUAG